UUUCUAUAAAUACAUAUAUUAUACACACACGCGUGUGUAUGAAACAUGCCUAUCAGGAUUUAUAUAGAUUAUGAAAACCAUAAUCCCCAGAAGUUACUCUAUAUUCAGAGAGUUGACAGAUCAAAAGGCGUAGGAAUUUUUUCCAGGAAUCCUAGCAUCGUGUAUUGUUAACUACACUCUAGCCUGUCAUGUUUGUCUGUAAGAGAACAGGAAACUGCUUUGAGGAGAUGCAACCGGAGUUUUCACUUCGCUUGAAGACCUGCCCUCAAGAAUUCCACCAGCUCACUUCACACUAAACCAGCGUGGCCAGUUCAUUUAUUACAUUUAAUGAAGCGAAAUGGCCAGUCCAGCACACAGAUCAUCGCCUUGGUUACUGGACCCUGAGAUGGCAGGAACAGAGCCAGUUGCUUGUCUGAAUUUAUUAUACUUCAACUCCUUAUCUUGUCUUAACUUUUAAUUUUCUUUUACCAAAACUAGAGAGAACAUGGCUUGUAUGACACUGAUCCUUUGGAAAAUAUUAACACUUUUUUGUAGCCGAGGCCAUGGGGUUUUUUGUAAAUGUAUCCUGUGUUCCUAAGAAAAUGAACAAAUA
rnacentral:lncRNA from 1 species